UGUAAUAUAAUGUCUAUGCAUAUGAAUUUUUGAAUUUCAAUGUAAAACUUCAUUGUUUUUGUUACAG
rnacentral:tRNA from 1 species